AGGGAAUAUUGGGCAAUGGAGGCAACUCUGACCCAGCAACGCCGCGUGAACGAUGAAGGUCUUCGGAUUGUAAAGUUCUUUAAGUGGGGACGAAGAAAGUGACUGUACCCACAGAAUAAGCCUCGGCUAACUAC
rnacentral:rRNA from 1 species